UACGUAGGGUGCGAGCGUUGUCCGGAAUUAUUGGGCGUAAAGAGCUCGUAGGCGGUGUGUCACGUCGGCCGUGAAAACCUGCAGCUUAACUGUGGGCGUGCGGUCGAUACGGGCAUCACUGGAGUUCGGCAGGGGAGACUGGAAUUCCUGGUGUAGCGGUGAAAUGCGCAGAUAUCGGGAGGAACACCGGUGGCGAAGGCGGCGACCUGGGUAGAUACUGACGCUGAGGCGCGAAAGCGUGGGGAGCAAACAGG
rnacentral:rRNA from 1 species